UGGGGAAUUUUGGACAAUGGGGGAAACCCUGAUCCAGCAAUGCCGCGUGUGUGAAGAAGGCCUUCGGGUUGUAAAGCACUUUUGUUCGGGAAGAAAACGUCUUAGCUAAUAUCUGGGGCGGAUGACGGUACCGGAAGAAUAAGCACCGGCUAACUACGUGCCAGCAGCCGCGGUAAUACGUAGGGUGCGAGCGUUAAUCGGAAUUACUGGGCGUAAAGCGUGCGCAGGCGGUUUGUUAAGACGGAUGUGAAAUCCCCGGGCUCAACCUGGGAACUGCAUUCGUGACUGGCAAGCUAGAGUAUGGCAGAGGGGGGUGGAAUUCCACGUGUAGCAGUGAAAUGCGUAGAUAUGUGGAGGAACACCGAUGGCGAAGGCAGCCCCCUGGGCCAAUACUGACGCUCAUGCACGAAAGCGUGGGGAGCAAACAGGAUUAGAUACCCCCGUAGUCC
rnacentral:rRNA from 1 species